CCACCAUCACCUGUGGUUAAGCCUCCAUACUAUUACAAAUCUCCACCUCCACCAUCCCCUUCUCCACCACCUCCUUACUACUACAAGAGUCCCCCUCCACCAUCACCAUCUCCUCCUCCUCCAUACUAUUAUCAAUCCCCACCACCACCGUCACCAGUGGUUAAGCCUCCAUACUACUACAACUCUCCCCCACCACCCUCUCAUGUGGUUAAGCCUCCAUACUACUACACUUCCCCACCUCCACCAUCACCUUCUCCUCCACCUCCUUACUACUACAAGAGCCCCCCUCCACCAUCACCCUCUCCACCUCCUCCAUACUAUUAUAAAUC
rnacentral:lncRNA from 1 species